UUUAAAAUGAGAGUUUGAUCCUGGCUCAGGAUAAACGCUGGCGGCAUGCCUAAUACAUGCAAGUCGAACGGAGGUGCUUGCACCUCAGUGGCGAACGGGUGAGUAACACGUAUCUAAUCUACCUUCUAGCGGGGGAUAACUUUUGGAAACGAAAGGUAAUACCGCAUGUGGAUGUUAUUAUCGCAUGAGAAAACAUUCAAAGAUCCGUUUGGAUCACUAGAAGAUGAGGAUGCGGCGUAUUAGCUAGUAGGCGGGGUAAAGGCCCACCUAGGCGAUGAUACGUAGCCGAACUGAGAGGUUGAUCGGCCACAUUGGGACUGAGAUACGGCCCAGACUCCUACGGGAGGCAGCAGUAGGGAAUUUUUCACAAUGGACGAAAGUCUGAUGAAGCAAUGCCGCGUGAGUGAUGACGGCCUUCGGGUUGUAAAGCUCUGUUGUAAGGGAAGAAAACAUAGGAGAGGAAAUGCUCUUAUCUUGACGGUACCUUACCAGAAAGCCACGGCUAACUAUGUGCCAGCAGCCGCGGUAAUACAUAGGUGGCAAGCGUUAUCCGGAUUUAUUGGGCGUAUAGGGUGCGUAGGCGGUUUCGCAAGUUUGAGGUUAAAGCCCGGAGCUCAACUCCGGUUCGCCUUGAAAACUGCGGGACUAGAAUAUCAGAGAGGUAAGCGGAAUUCCAUGUGUAGCGGUAAAAUGCGUAGAUAUAUGGAAGAACACCAGUGGCGAAAGCGGCUUACUGGCUGAUUAUUGACGCUGAGGCACGAAAGCGUGGGGAGCAAAUAGGAUUAGAUACCCUAGUAGUCCACGCCGUAAACGUUGAGUACUAAGUAUUGGGGAUUACCUCAGUGCUGCAGCUAACGCAUUAAGUACUCCGCCUGAGUAGUAUGCUCGCAAGAGUGAAACUCAAAGGAAUUGACGGGGACCCGCACAAGUGGUGGAGCAUGUGGUUUAAUUCGAAGCAACACGAAGAACCUUACCAGGGCUUGACAUACAGUGCAAAGCUACAGAGAUGUAGUGGAGGUUAACAUUGAUACAGGUGGUGCAUGGUUGUCGUCAGUUCGUGCCGUGAGGUGUUGGGUUAAGUCCCGCAACGAACGCAACCCUUGUCGUUAGUUACUAACAUUAAGUUGAGGACUCUAACGAGACUGCUAGUGUAAGCUAGAGGAAGGUGGGGAUGACGUCAAAUCAUCAUGCCCCUUAUGUCCUGGGCUACACACGUGCUACAAUGGCCGAUACAAAGAGUCGCAAUCUCGUGAGGGGGAGCUAAUCUCAAAAAGUCGGUCUCAGUUCGGAUUGAAGUCUGCAACUCGACUUCAUGAAGCCGGAAUCACUAGUAAUCGCGAAUCAGCUAUGUCGCGGUGAAUACGUUCUCGGGUCUUGUACACACCGCCCGUCAAACCACGAGAGUUGGUAAUACCAGAAGUACGUUUCCUAACCGUAAGGAAGGCGCGUCCCAAGGUAGGACUAGCGAUUGGGG
rnacentral:rRNA from 1 species